rnacentral:snRNA from 1 species
AUGUGUUACGGCUCUUCUAGAAUUUGUCUAGCAAGUUUUCUGGUGAAAAUUAAACUCAA